rnacentral:rRNA from 1 species
UACGUAGGUGGCGAGCGUUGUCCGGAAUUAUUGGGCGUAAAGAGCAUGUAGGCGGUUUUUUAAGUCUGGAGUGAAAAUGCGGGGCUCAACCCCGUAUGGCUCUGGAUACUGGAAGACUUGAGUGCAGGAGAGGAAAGGGGAAUUCCCAGUGUAGCGGUGAAAUGCGUAGAUAUUGGGAGGAACACCAGUGGCGAAGGCGCCGUUCUGGACUGUGUCUGACGCUGAGAUGCGAAAGCGAGGGUAGCGAACGGG